UACAGAGGUCUCAACCGUUGUUCGGAUUCAUUGGGCGUAAAGGGUGCGUAGGUGGCGGGGUAAGUCAGGUGUGAAAUUUCGGAGCUUAACUCCGAAACUGCAUUUGAUACUGCCUUGCUUGAGGACUGGAGAGGAGACUGGAAUUCAUGGUGUAACAGUGAAAUGCGUAGAGAUCAUGAGGAAGACCAGUGGCGAAGGCGGGUCUCUGGACAGUUCCUGACACUGAGACACGAAGGCCAGGGGAGCAAACGGG
rnacentral:rRNA from 1 species